UACGGGGGGGGCAAGCGUUGUUCGGAAUUACUGGGCGUAAAGCGCGUGUAGGCGGCUCGAUAAGUCUGCUGUGAAAGUCGGGGGCUCAACCCUCGAAUGCCGGUGGAUAUUGUCGGGCUAGAGUGCGGAAGAGGCGAGUGGAAUUCCUGGUGUAGCGGUGAAAUGCGCAGAUAUCAGGAGGAACACCUAUUGCGAAGGCAGCUCGCUGGGACGUAACUGACGCUGAGACGCGAAAGCGUGGGGAGCAAACAGG
rnacentral:rRNA from 1 species